GCAUAUCAAUAAGCGGAGGAAAAGAAACCAACAGGGAUUGCCUCAGUAACGGCGAGUGAAGCGGCAACAGCUCAAAUUUGAAAUCUGGCCCCCCGGCCCGAGUCGUAAUUUGCAGAGGAUGCUUUUGGCGCGGUGCCUUCCGAGUUCCUUGGAACAGGACGCCUUAGAGGGUGAGAGCCCCGUACGGUCGGACACCAAGCCUUUGUAAAGCUCCCUCGACGAGUCGAGUAGUUUGGGAAUGCUGCUCUAAAUGGGAGGUAAAUUUCUUCUAAAGCUAAAUACCGGCUGGAGACCGAUAGCGCACAAGUAGAGUGAUCGAAAGAUGAAAAGCACUUUGAAAAGAGGGUUAAAUAGCACGUGAAAUUGUUGAAAGGGAAGGGCUUGUGACCAGACUUGGGCUUGGUUGAUCAUCCGGGGUUCUCCCCGGUGCACUCUUCCGGCUCAGGCCAGCAUCAGUUCGCCCUGGGGGAUAAAGGCUUCGGGAAUGUGGCUCUCUCCGGGGAGUGUUAUAGCCCGCUGCGUAAUACCCUGUGGCGGACUGAGGUUCGCGCAUUCGCAAGGAUGCUGGCGUAAUGGUCAUCAGUGACCCGUCUUGAAACACGGACCG
rnacentral:rRNA from 1 species